rnacentral:rRNA from 1 species
CCUACGGGUGGCGGCAGUGAGGAAUAUUGGUCAAUGGGCGCGAGCCUGAACCAGCCAAGUAGCGUGAAGGAUGACUGCCCUACGGGUUGUAAACUUCUGUUAUAAAGGAAUAAAGUGAGGCACGUGUGCCUUUUUGUAUGUACUUUAUGAAUAAGGAUCGGCUAACUCCGUGCCAGCAGCCGCGGUAAUACGGAGGAUCCGAGCGUUAUCCGGAUUGAGUGGGUUUAAAGGGAGCGUAGAGGGGUUGUUAAGUCAGUUUUGAAAGUUUGCGGCUCAACCGUAAAAUGGCAAUUGAUACUGGCAGUCUUGCGUACAGUUGAGGUCGGCUGACUUCGUGUUGUAGCGG